CAACAAAUGAAGUUCCCACGAAAUUACUGGUGUUAAGGUGAAGGGAAUAAAGAUGGCAAUGAUUGAUGUUAGGAGACCAUAUGAGGAAUAAAUGACAGAUGUUUGAAACAAAGUUUAUCCAAUCCAGCUUUGCUUUCUGGAUUG